rnacentral:rRNA from 1 species
GAUGAACGCUGGCGGCAUGCCUAAUACAUGCAAGUCGAGCGAAUGGAUUAAGAGCUUGCUCUUAUGAAGUUAGCGGCGGACGGGUGGGUAACACGUGGGUAACCUGCCCAUAAGACUGGGAUAACUCCGGGAAACCGGGGCUAAUACCGGAUAACAUUUUGAACCGCAUGGUUCGAAAUUGAAAGGCGGCUUAGGCUGUCACUUAUGGAUGGACCCGCGUCGCAUUAGCCAGUUGGUGAGGUAACGGCUCACCAAGGCAACGAUGCGUAGCCGACCUGAGAGGGUGAUCGGCCACACUGGGACUGAGACACGGCCCAGACUCCUACGGGAGGCAGCAGUAGGGAAUCUUCCGCAAUGGACGAAAGUCUGACGGAGCAACGCCGCGUGAGUGAUGAAGGCUUUCGGGUCGUAAAACUCUGUUGUUAGGGAAGAACAAGUGCUAGUUGAAUAAGCUGGCACCUUGACGGUACCUAACCAGAAAGCCACGGCUAACUACGUGCCAGCCGCCGCGGUAA